CGACUCCGCGCGGAGGAGCGGGGACCCGGGCCUGCAGUCGGAGGCCCGGCUGCUGGGGGGCACUGGGGCAGGCCUUACCGCCAACCCCGCACCCUCGGCCGGGAGGCUGCAGGUCGGUGGCUAACCCCAGGCGUGUCCCGGGAUGGGACCCGACUCUGCCCUCAGAGACAGGGACAGUCGGGCCAGGCCAACAAACAACCAAAAUCCCAACGUGUGCUGGGCUCACCCGGGACACCAGGGCCGGAGGGAGAGACCCGGGAAGUCACCGAGGCUGCAGGGGAGGCAGCUUUGGCGCUGGGCCUGCGGGAGCCUCUUGUAUAGGAAUUCAUAGCUACCGGGGUUACUGAGGAUGAGUUAGGCUUUGGAACCACAAGUAGAUUUAUUUUCCAAAGAAGAAGAAUAAAAUGGUGCAGGUGAAGAUGCGGAGGAACUGGAUGAGACGCAUAGGAACGCCACUGGGCAGCUCAAAGCGGUGUUCCUGUGAGUUCACCAUGGACCCCUUGAGCCACCGACGCCCCGCCCAGCCUUACACUCAGCAGAAACGCAUACAACAUGUGCUCCAAAAGACAGAAAGACAUGUAGCCGCACAUUCAUAAUUCCUCCAAUUGGGAAGCCUAGCGUCAUCAAGGCAGAUGAAUAUCGUGGAGUAUUCGGGCUUAGGAGCACGACAAACGGAACAGGAGUGAAUGAUCCGCAACUCACAUAACGGUUCUCAGCACAUCCAGCUUCCAGAGGCCCACUGGAAGAUCAUAGGCCUGAGAUUCUUGCAGUCCAGGCAUCCACCAUCCAUGAUGGGCCCUUGACCUCGCCCACUCCACACCGACCCUAGGACUUGGAAGACACAAGGAACUCAUGUGAACACCAUGCUUAAACUGCAGCUAUUAUUUUACUGCAACUAAUAAAGUCCCUGUCUCUGACCCAGGAGUCUCAGAACUGGAGAUUGGCAGUGCCUCUAUUUGAAUGGAGGUCAUCUGACUCCCUUUGUAUCUUGGGUUCUGUUUUUCAAUAAAAAUUAUAGCAUUGUAACAUUUCCCUGUCUUAUUAGAAAUCUCCAUUACAUAUCCAGUGAGUGGAUAUGUUUAGAAGUCGCAUACACAUUUACUUAACCACUCACUCUCUUAUUAGGGGACAUUUUCGUCAUUUAAACUUUGCAGCGUUAGAAAUGAUGCUGCCGUGAAACCUGUGCGCUCCAGGUUCAGCUGUACCUCUGCGGCUCCCAGCAGGAAUGGCCUAGAAGAGUAAGUGCUGCACCAAGAAA
rnacentral:lncRNA from 1 species